rnacentral:rRNA from 1 species
UGCAGGCUGCAACUCGCCUGCAUGAAGUCGGAUUGCUAGUAAUCGUAGGUCAGCAUACUACGGUGAAUACGUUCCCCGGGGCCUUGUACACACCGCCCGUCACACCAUGAGAGUUGGAAAUACCCGAAGCCUGUGAGCUAACUUAAAGAGGCAGCAGUCGAAGGUAGAGCCAAUGAUUGGGGUGAAGUCGUAACAAGGUAAC